UUAGUGGCGCAGCGNAACGCAUUUUAGUUGUCCCGCCCUGGGGAGGCNGGGCCNCCAAGGUUANAACUCAAAUGAAUUGNGGGGGGCCCGCGCAAGCGGUGGAGCAUGUGGNUUAANNCGAANCAACGCGAAGACCCUUUCCAGGCCUUGACAUNCAAAUGAACNUUCUAGAGAUAGAUUGGUGCCUUCGGGANCAUUGAGACAGGUGCUGCAUGGCUGUCGUCAGCUCGUGUCGUGAGAUGUUGGGUUAAGUCCCGUAACGAGCGCAACCCUUGUCCUUAGUUACCAGCACGUAAUGGUGGGCNCUCUAAGGAGACUGCCGGUGNCAAACCGGAGGAAGGUGGGGAUGNCGUCAAGUCAUCAUGGCCCUUUCGGCCUGGGCUACACACGUGCUNCAAUGGUCGGUACAGAGGGUUGCCNAGCCGCGAGGUGGAGCUAAUCCCAGAAACCCGAUCGUAGUCCGGAUCGCAGUCUGCAACUCGNCUGCGUGAAGUCGGAAUCGCUAGUAAUCGCGAAUCAGAAUGUCGCGGUGAAUACGUUCCCGGGCCUUGUACNCNCCGCCCGUCCCACCAUGNCAGUGGGUUGCACCAGAAGUAGCUAGUAAUAACCUUCGGGAGGACGGUUNCCNCGGUGUGAUUCAUCCCUGGGGUGAAGUCGUAGCAAGGGAG
rnacentral:rRNA from 1 species